GACGAACGCUGGCGGCGUGCUUAACACAUGCAAGUCGAACGGAAAGGCCCUGCUUUUGUGGGGUGCUCGAGUGGCGAACGGGUGAGUAACACGUGAGUAACCUGCCCUUGACUUUGGGAUAACUUCAGGAAACUGGGGCUAAUACCGGAUAGGAGCUCCUGCUGCAUGGUGGGGGUUGGAAAGUUUCGGCGGUUGGGGAUGGACUCGCGGCUUAUCAGCUUGUUGGUGGGGUAGUGGCUUACCAAGGCUUUGACGGGUAGCCGGCCUGAGAGGGUGACCGGCCACAUUGGGACUGAGAUGCGGCCCAGACUCGUACGGGAGGCAGCAGUGGGGAAUAUUGCACAAUGGGCGGAAGCCUGAUGCAGCAACGCCGCGUGCGGGAUGACGGCCUUCGAGUUGUAAACCGCUUUCGCCUGUGACGAAGCGUGAGUGACGGUAAUGGGUAAAGAAGCACCGGCUAACUACGUG
rnacentral:rRNA from 1 species